GAGAGCACAGUACGAUGAAAGUUGUAAGCUGUGUUCGGGGGGGGGGGGGGGCGUUAUUGUCUAUCGUUGGCCUCUAUGGUAGAACCCGUCGGGGAGGCCUGAGAGGCGGUGGUUUACCCUGU
rnacentral:ncRNA from 1 species